rnacentral:rRNA from 1 species
GAUGAACGCUGGCGGCGUGCCUAAUACAUGCAAGUCGAGCGAACAGAUGAGGAGCUUGCUCCUCUGACGUUAGCGGCGGACGGGUGAGUAACACGUGGAUAACCUACCUAUAAGACUGGGAUAACUUCGGGAAACCGGAGCUAAUACCGGAUAAUAUAUUGAACCGCAUGGUUCAAUAGUGAAAGACGGUUUUGCUGUCACUUAUAGAUGGAUCCGCGCCGCAUUAGCUAGUUGGUAAGGUAACGGCUUACCAAGGCAACGAUGCGUAGCCGACCUGAGAGGGGGAUCGGCCACACUGGAACUGAGACACGGUCCAGACUCCUACGGGAGGCAGCAGUAGGGAAUCUUCCGCAAUGGGCGAAAGCCUGACGGAGCAACGCCGCGUGAGUGAUGAAGGUCUGCGGAUCGUAAAACUCUGUUAUUAGGGAAGAACAAAUGUGUAAGUAACUAUGCACGUCUUGACGGUACCGAAGCAGAAAGCCACGGCUAACUACGU